UACGGAGGGUGCGAGCGUUGUCCGGAAUCACUGGGCGUAAAGGGCGCGUAGGCGGUCGUGACAAGUCACUUGUGAAAUCUCCGGGCUUAACUCGGAACGGUCAAGUGAUACUGUCGGACUAGAGUACAGAAGGGGCAACUGGAAUUCUCGGUGUAGCGGUGAAAUGCGUAGAUAUCGAGAGGAACACCUGCGGCGAAAGCGCGCUGCUGGACCUCUUCUGACGCUGAGGCGCGAAAGCUAGGGGAGCGAACGGG
rnacentral:rRNA from 1 species